AGCACAGAGGAAGGCAGCAGCGGUAGCAGCAGCAGAAGCAGUAGCAAGCCCGGCAGCUGAGAGCACCGCAGCGUCGAGAUGUACCAUCCUGCCUACUGGGUCGUCUUCUCGGCGACAACUGCCCUGCUCUUCAUCCCAGGUGUACCAUAGAUGACCGGGUAACCCGGGUGGCCUGGCUAAACCGCAGCACCAUCCUCUAUGCUGGGAAUGACAAGUGGUCCAUAGACCCUCGUGUGAUCAUCCUGGUCAAUACACCAACCCAGUACAGCAUCAUGAUCCAAAAUGUGGAUGUGUAUGAUGAAGGUCCGUACACCUGCUCUGUGCAGACAGACAAUCAUCCCAAAACAUCCCGGGUUCACCUAAUAGUGCAAGUUCCUCCUCAGAUCAUGAAUAUCUCCUCAGACAUCACUGUGAAUGAGGGAAGCAGCGUGACCCUGCUGUGUCUUGCUAUUGGCAGACCAGAGCCAACUGUGACAUGGAGACACCUGUCAGUCAAGGAAGGCCAGGGCUUUGUAAGUGAGGAUGAGUACCUGGAGAUCUCUGACAUCAAGCGAGACCAGUCUGGGGAGUACGAAUGCAGCGCGUUGAACGAUGUUGCUGCACCCGAUGUGCGGAAAGUAAAAAUCACUGUAAACUAUCCUCCCUAUAUCUCAAAAGCCAAGAACACUGGUGUUUCAGUUGGUCAGAAGGGCAUCCUGAGCUGUGAAGCCUCUGCAGUUCCCAUGGCUGAAUUCCAGUGGUUCAAGGAAGAAACCAGGUUAGCCACUGGCCUGGAUGGAAUGAGGAUUGAAAACAAAGGCCGCAUGUCCACUCUGACUUUCUUCAAUGUUUCAGAAAAGGAUUAUGGGAACUAUACUUGUGUGGCCACAAACAAGCUUGGGAACACCAAUGCCAGCAUCACAUUGUAUGGGCCUGGAGCAGUCAUUGAUGGUGUAAACUCGGCCUCCAGAGCACUGGCUUGUCUCUGGCUAUCAGGGACCCUCUUAGCUCACUUCUUCAUCAAGUUUUGAUAAGAAAUCCUAGGUCCUCUGAGCAACGCCUGCUUCUCCAUAUCACAGACUUUAAUCUACACUGCGGAGAGCAAACCAGCUUGGGCUUCUUUUUGUUUGUUUUUUUCUGUUCUUCUUCUAGAUUUGUUUUCUUUUUGUUUUUGUUUGUUUGUUUGUUUGCUUUUAUUUCCAGCUUGAAUGAGUGGGGUUGGGGGCGGGGUGGGCAGGGUUCUACCAUGUGUAGGAUAAUCAUUCAUUGGUGUGUCCAAAAAUGGGGUCUGCUCCUGCUACCUUGACCCUUCCCUUUCCUCUGCUUCUCUCCUUAUCAUCAUUCCCACCAACAUCCUCUGCCACACACAAC
rnacentral:sRNA from 1 species